rnacentral:rRNA from 1 species
GGGGGGGGGGGGGGGGGGGGGUGGGGGGGGCGGGGCGGGCGGACGGGCGAGAGGCUUGCUGCUCUGAUGUUAGCGGCGGACGGGUGGGUAACACGUGGAUAACCUACCUGUGAGACUGGGCUACCUUCUGGCAACCGGCGCUAAUACCGGAUAAUAUUUUGACCCGCAUGGUUCAAAAGUUAAAGACGUUCUUGCUGUCACUUAUCGAUGGAUCCGCGCUGCAUUAGCUAGUUGGUAAGGUAACGGCUUACCAAGGCAACGAUGCAUAGCCGACCUGAGAGGGUGAUCGGCCACACUGGAACUGAGACACGGUCCAGACUCCUACGGGAGGCAGCAGUAGGGAAUCUUCCGCAAUGGGCGAAAGCCUGACGGAGCAACGCCGCGUGAGUGAUGAAGGUCUUCGGAUCGUAAAACUCUGUUAUUAGGGAAGAACAUAUGUGUAAGUAACUGUGCACAUCUUGACGGUACCUAAUCAGAAAGCCACGGCUAACUACGUG